GGGCGUGACGCUUUUGGCGUGUUACUUUGCAAAGGUAUUAUAGAUAGUCUUAUCCUCGCU
rnacentral:tRNA from 1 species